rnacentral:rRNA from 1 species
CCAGACUCCUACGGGAGGCAGCAGUGGGGGAUAUUGCACAAUGGGGGAAACCCUGAUGCAGCGACGCCGCGUGAGUGAAGAAGUAUUUCGGUAUGUAAAGCUCUAUCAGCAGGGAAGAAGAUGACAGUACCUGAGUAAGAAGCCCCGGCUGACUACGUGCCAGCAGCCGCGGUAAUACGUAGGGGGCAAGCGUUAUCCGGAUUUACUGGGUGUAAGGGGAGCGUAGACGGUUAUGUAAGUCUGGAGUGAAAGCCCGGGGCCCAACCCCGGGACUGCUCUGGAAACUGCGUCGCUGGAGUACGGGAGGGGCAGGCGGAAUUCCUGGUGUAGCGGUGAAAUGCGUAGAUAUCAGGAGGAACACCGGCGGCGAAGGCGGCCUGCUGGACCGUGACUGACGUUGAGGCCCGAGAGCGUGGGGAGCAAACAGGAUUAGAUACCCUAGUA